rnacentral:rRNA from 1 species
AGUGAACGCUGGCGGUAGGCCUAACACAUGCAAGUCGAACGGCAGCACAGUAAGAGCUUGCUCUUACGGGUGGCGAGUGGCGGACGGGUGAGGAAUACAUCGGAAUCUACUUUUUCGUGGGGGAUAACGUAGGGACACUUCCGCUAAUACCGCAUACGACCUACGGGUGAAAGCAGGGGAUCUUCGGACCUUGCGCGAUUCAAUGAGCCGAUGUCGGAUUAGCUAGUUGGCGGGGUAAAGGCCCACCAAGGCGACGAUCCGUAGCUGGUCUGAGAGGAUGAUCAGCCACACUGGAACUGAGACACGGUCCAGACUCCUACGGGAGGCAGCAGUGGGGAAUAUUGGACAAUGGGCGCAAGCCUGAUCCAGCCAUACCGCGUGGGUGAAGAAGGCCUUCGGGUUGUAAAGCCCUUUUGUUGGGAAAGAAAAGCAGCAGGUUAAUACCCCGCUGUUCUGACGGUACCCAAAGAAUAAGCACCGGCUAACUUCGUG